UUAUUUCUCAAACUGAGGUCCCUUAAAGUGCUCAGGCUUUCAGAAAAUGAAGAGCUUUGUUCUAGCUGAGGGAUUUUUUUUGUUUUUUUCUCAUUUUUGAAGACACAGCACUCCACAUUUUGAAAUCUUCAGAACAUGACUGUGCAUCUUUCCAGCUCCGGGAGGUCAUGGUCACGUCUUGCUCCAAAACCUGCCGGCGGAGUAGAUUGCUCUUGAGCUUAACGUUGGAGAGUCAGCUCCCUCUAUGGUCGGAAGAUGGAGGGACACCUUCCUCCCUUCGGGGGAUCUUUCAGUUUUCGCUGUGCUCUGGAAGAACUGGGUGUUUCUGUCUAGCAGAGCAAGUCUAAGAUGUUUUUUUCCCCCGGCAAGAAGCUCUGAAGAAAUCGGUGGGAAGCAAAUUGCAACACUGAAGAAAGAGCAG